AAUGAACGCUGGCGGCGUGCUUAACACAUGCAAGUCGUACGAGAAAGCCUUGGCUUGCCAGGGCGAGUAAAGUGGCGCACGAGUGAGUAACACGUGGGUAAUCUACCCUCGAAUUUGGGAUAACCCGCCGAAAGGCGUGCUAAUACCGGAUAACAUCAUAUUUUCUUUGGAGGGUAUGAUCAAAGGUGGCCUCUACAAGUAAGCUACUGUUUGGGGAUGAGCCCGCGUACCAUUAGCUAGUUGGUAGGGUAAAGGCCUACCAAGGCAACGAUGGUUAGCUGGUCUGAGAGGAUGAUCAGCCACACUGGAACUGACACACGGUCCAGACUCCUACGGGAGGCAGCAGUGAGGAAUUUUGCGCAAUGNNNNAAACCCUGACGCAGCAACGCCGCGUGAGUGAUGAAGGCCUUCGGGUCGUAAAACUCUGUCAAGUGGGAAGAACCUAUGUAGGGAUAAUACCCUUAUGUACUGACGGUACCACUGAAGGAAGCACCGGCUAACUCCGUGCCAGCAGCCGCGGUAAUACGGAGGGUGCAAGCGUUAUUCGGAUUUAUUGGGCGUAAAGGGCGCGUAGGCGGUUUUGUAAGUCAGAUGUGAAAUCCCGGGGCUCAACCCCGGAAGUGCAUUUGAUACUGCGAG
rnacentral:rRNA from 1 species